UUGAAUGUUGCAUCUCAUCUUUGAGAUAAGUUGUUGACAGUUUUCUUUUUGGUUGAGCCUGUUCUCUUUCAAUUUGGUUGAGAUUCUGCUGUCUGCAAUGGCUUCCAGUGGUAGAUGUUUUGGACAACAACAUACUAGAGGUUCAAGGCCAGUCAUCCAUAAAUUGCAGCGUAAACUCACAAAGACUACAGUUUUUUUGCUACUUUUGUAUGUUGUCAUCAUAUUUUGAAGUUAACCUGUUUUUGUAACUGACAUCAAUCCUGAAGAGAUGUUAUUCAAUUCUAAAGCUGAGCGCUUCCUCUCAUGCUGUGCUACCUGACCACGAUCCCAAAUCAACAGGAACAAGCAACCAGUGGAUUGGAACUGGGCAGACUGUGAGCAAACGAACGUCUUCUCUUUUCCGGGUUCCGUGUGAUGCAUGCAGAUUUGUACAACCCCCUGAUGUCUACCUCCCUGUGGGACAGCUCAUAAGCACUUUGCUCAGGAGAAGACGCCCAUAGCGGGCAUCCACUGUACAGACAGGCUGCACGAAGGACCUCUUAGCUACAGCAUGGCCCCACCGAGCGUUGGCAGCGAUGCCGGCCUAGUUGUUUUUGCUAUUUGGGUUUUUGUCUGUUUUAGGAGUUUUGUCUUUUUCCCUGCCCACUGCUUGAGCAGGUGAGUGUGUAUUCUACAGGCCCGUGCCCUUGGCCUGCGGUUGCUGUCUUUUCUCUUAAGUUUGAAGUAAUACAAACUGAU